rnacentral:lncRNA from 1 species
GGGACAUUCUGACCCAGCCAGGAACAGCACUAAGUCUCCAGGAGUGCUGUCUUCACAGAGCCUGAAGUUUCUGAGUGCUUUGACUCACACUGGGCAUCCCAGCAUUUCAAGCCUCUGCUGUGGAGCUUGGAGACCAGCAAUGACUAGAAUCUCUUCUAAAACCCUCCACCAACAAGGUACAAACAGUCCAACAGAUUAAAAACCCUAUUUAAUUGGUGGAGAACUAAGACACCUAGCAGAGAGUCUCAGGUGAUACUGAAAGCCUUUGGUGGAGCUUAGCCUUUAAUGUAACCUGUGAAGUAGAGCACUGUAGGACUCUUUCUCUCACUGAAAUAACUACUAGCUAUAUGUCAAAAACUUCCGUACAUAAAUUACUCGUUAUACAGUAAGAAUAAUAUCAUCUGUCACUGGAAGGAGGUGUUCAAUGCCUUUAUACAGUAUGAAAUUCUCAUGAUCAAAACCAGCAGAAUCACAUGGAAUAGAGAACAAGUUUCAUCAUUCCAUUGACUUCUCCUAAGUACGUUUCAUACUAAAUUGGGAUUUUCCCUCUGUCUUUGAAGAUCACGUUUG